rnacentral:rRNA from 1 species
GACGAACGCUGGCGGCGUGCUUAACACAUGCAAGUCGAACGCUGAAGCUUGGUGCUUGCACUGGGUGGAUGAGUGGCGAACGGGUGAGUAAUACGUGAGUAACCUGCCCUUGACUCUGGGAUAAGCCUGGGAAACUGGGUCUAAUACUGGAUACGACAUGUCACCGCAUGGUGGUGUGUGGAAAGGGUUUUACUGGUUUUGGAUGGGCUCACGGCCUAUCAGCUUGUUGGUGGGGUAAUGGCUCACCAAGGCGACGACGGGUAGCCGGCCUGAGAGGGUGACCGGCCACACUGGGACUGAGACACGGCCCAGACUCCUACGGGAGGCAGCAGUGGGGAAUAUUGCACAAGGGGCGGAAGCCUGAUGCAGCGACGCCGCGUGAGGGAUGACGGCCUUCGGGUUGUAAACCUCUUUCAGCACGGAAGAAGCGAAAGUGACGGUACGUGCAGAAGAAGCGCCGGCUAACUACGU